rnacentral:lncRNA from 1 species
AAAUAAGGAGGAAUUGUUCCUAGGAAGAUGCUGACUUCGUCUUAGGAUGGAAUCUUCUUCCUGCACAAUUCCUGACUGUGGGCAUCGCUCUCCAGUUCUUGGGUCCUAGUACUUCGUGAAGCCAGAAGCAUCAUUUUGGAGGUAUAGUUAGGAAAUGAUUAAAGGUGAGCAAGUAUUUGUUAUAUGUUAUAUGUUUUUAUCAAAGUAGAAGAUGGAGUUUUGGAAUCUGCCUGGCUUGUUGGCUGCUCUAGAAGAGAAGGCACUUGGUCAAGUCAACCAGCAAGGUCUUGUCCUUAGGUUUGUGCAACUCAGCAUUGCCCAAACUCACAGUUAGAUCUGCAAAUACCAGAUCUUGAUGUAUUAAUUUACAGUGAGAGAUUCUCUUUUAUGGAUUCUAGAACACUUGACUCUGUUAUCCUGAGCGUUGUUUUCUGAAAUGCAGCUCCACUCAGUGGUUGGAGCCUAGUGAACCGGAUUGGGCUACUCUUGCAGGAUAUGGGUAAGGUCCUGAAGGGUCCCCUUCCACUGACAGGGUUUCCGUGUCCUCCUCUGCAGCUGUGUGGAAACAGUGCUCACCUGCACCUGUGUUUUUGCUCGCCUCCAGUUAACCUCUACUUCUGCAUAGAUUCCACAAUUAUUUUGCAACCCCAGAGAGUGGUUUUCAGCUUAUUUUUGGCAACACCACACUCAUGUCCUUCUAGGCUUGUAUCCUUAGGGGUAGAAGAUCCAUAAUUAAGUGCUUAGACAAGGAGAGCUGGUUGACCCAGUUCUAAUGCAUGCUCCCUAGAGCCUUUGGGUCCAUUAUCGUAACUUUUCUAAAUUGUAGUUCCCACAUCUAUAAAUGGGUAUCAUCUUAGUAACUAUCUUAUCUCACGAGGCUAGGAUUGAAAGAAAUAGUUCCUGUGAAGUGCUAACUAUGUGUGGAAUGCAGCCUUCUUGGAGGCUCCAAUGAGCAUCUCUUCCUGGUAUUCAUGUCCUUAUGUAGCCCCUCUCACAGGCAUUAGGGCUGAUGUGUGUCAGCUCUCGGAUGGUGUGGGCAUGAUGGGGUGUGACUUGUGAGGCUAGAUUAUAAAAGGUACCGUGUUUUCCAUCUUGCUUUCUUGGAUCAUUUGCUCACAGGGAAGGCAGACGACACUCAAGUAACCCUUAUGGAAAGGUCCAUAUAUGGAACCCAGCAGUUCCUGCCAAUAGCCAAGCCAGUUUGGAAAUGGAGCCUCCAGCCCCAGACCAGCCUUCAGAUGACCGCAGCCUUGGGAGGGCCCCUGAGCAGAACCCCCUACUGAGCCACUCCUGAUUCCUGAUCCACAGAAACUGUGAGACAAUGACUGUUUGUUGUUUUAAACCCUGGAGCUUUGGGGUAAUUUGCUAUGCAUCAAUAGAUAAUCAAUACAGUAUAAAGGUACUCAAUAAAUCAUAGAAAUUAUUAUUAUCACAGUCUAGUCAAUAGGUUAGAUUUCAGUGUCUAUCUGGUUUUAUUUUGAUGUGGGAGAAGUGCCAAGAUAAUCGGAGACACCUGUAAAACAUUUUAGCGCAGGCCAUUUCUCCAAGCGGCUAAUUUGUCUUUCAGAAUGCAGUGGUGAUUUUCAUUAGCUCCACUUAUCUUGUGACACUUCAUAUAGUUAUUUGAAUACUGGAAACACCAUUUAAUUAUACUAGACAAAUUGGAUUGGCAAACAGUUUCAGGAUCAAAAUCUUUUAGGAGGAAUGCAAAAGAAAGCAGAGAUAGACCAUUCAAUGCAAAGCCCUUUGUCUCUUGUGACAAAUUCUGAGUUGUGGUUCCUCAAAUGGGUCGUGAUUAUGAGACUGGCACAUAAGAAACUGAAAUAAAUUCAGAUAACCAAGAGCCCUAUUGAUUUAUCUUCCAAUUAAUAGUUAAACUUUUAUGAUUAUUUAGAACAUUGGUUUAUCUCUGAAAAUAUAACCAGGUUGCAAAAUUGAGUGAAUAGAGAAGAAUUUUACCCACAAAUAAACAAAAGGAAAUACCAUCUGCCCUGGGAGACUGGUUUCUGGAGUGAACUAGCCCUUGAGGUGUCUUUCAGCUGUAACUCUAUGUUCCCCCAGCCUGACCGCUGGGCUCAUUUGCACAAAAGAUGCUGCAGUGGUGAUCUAGUGACAAUCACGGUCCCCGGGGUAAUCAGCGGUCUUGAGGCAGGAGAAUUAGGGUCAAUGCUCAUCCAAUUUCUUCCCAACUGUGUGGCUUUGAGGAAACUAACCACUGUGAGUAUGAGCUUUCUCAUGUCAAGAUAGAGUGGGAAUCACCUCACAAAAUCCUUAGGUUUAAAUAAUGUGAUGGAUGCGACCAUGUGUGUUCAGUGCAUGGUCUGGUAUGGAAACACGGUAAAGACUGCAUCUGAAUGAAUGGAGAUGUUUGCAUGGCUGAGGAAAUGACCUUGUGCACAUGCUUCCUACUCUGUGAAAGCUUGUUUGCUGGGCUCCUCCUCAUGGAAUGUGCAGCUAAUGUGAAGGUUUCCCAGGUUCCUUCUCCCUUGGAGUUUGGUUUUGCCUCCCUUACAGCACCAGUUGUCCUGCAUUCAAUCAUAUUUCAUGGGCCUCUGGUCUCCACUAGGGUCUGAAGCUUUCUUUGGGAAAAAACUAUGUCUUAUCUAUUUGCUAUUAUUUUUAAAAAUUCUUAAGACUGGGCUCAUGUAGGUUUUUACUGAUUAUUUGACGAGGAAAUGAAUGUCGCAAAUUUUUAAACUAAGCUCUCAUUCUUGGAAACAUGGACACUGCCGUGAAGGUUUUCCAGUCCAGAGGGCCUGCAGCAAUUGUUAAUUUAAAAACGAAAGAAAGAAAUCAGAUGGGGGGUAUGUGAAAACAAAUAUGAAUGUUUCUGCAGAACCGUAUCUCUGUACUCAGUGACCUUGAACUGAAUCUAAUUAUGUGGGAUUUAAUCAAUGCAGGUGAAUCAGCCCUUUAUAAAAAGUCUCAAAAGCCUUGUGCUUGCGGGAACUGCCAUAAGGAUUUUUAAUAGAUGUGCACAUCACCCAGGGAAACGGACUUCCCCCGAUAAUUAACCCUCGCUCCGGAUUUUGUUGGCACAAACAUUUUGCAGCAGUUAAUAUAUAUGAACUUUUUUAGGCCGAGCAGGGAUACACGGGGAAGCAGAGGAGGAGCCCCAGCUCAUAGCAAUGUGCGUUAAUAACAGGCGCGGAGAGUCAGACGGAGGGAAAUAGGGCCCCCUGCGACCUACAUGGCCAGUAAUGAAAUGUGGGCCAUUCUAACUGCUUAAACAGAAUGUGCAAAACGCCAGAUAACCAUUUAAUUCAUUUAAAAAAGUAAAUCACAUCAAGAACAGAACUUUUCCCCUUGCACAAGUAACUGAAAAGGGCCAAGGUGAAAAUAUUAAUUAAGAUACACAUUAUAUCCUCAGUUAACAUUAAAGUGGGGUUGCUUUCAGUGUUAUUUACUGAGGGAGUGGGCCUGGUGACAGAGCUGUCGGCAAAGUGAAGGGAACUGGGAAAGAGAAUUCUACUCCAAAAUGUAUUAUUUUUAAAAGUACACUAUUUCUUCAAAAUGCUCUCCAAAACUAUUUUCCGGGUUCAAGGAAAUCUGGAGACUAGUGAAUACAGAAACUAUCCUUUUAGAGGGACACAAUGGAUCUUUCUUUAAUGUCAGAUGGAUUUUUAAAAAAAUAAUCAUUGUAAAAGCAAUACAGGCUCGUUCUAGGGGCAAAUAACCAACCAAAACCCAACAAACAGAAAGGAAAGCCUUCCAAAGACAUUUUUAGAAGACUUCAGCUUCUCCCUAAUUGCUGAGUUGCACUCAAGAGUAGAAAACAGCUGAGAAGAGCUACCCCAGGUUCUCCACAUUCUGCACAUGGACCCAGGAGGUUGGGUUGGUAGCACAGGCUGUGGAGCCAGGUGACCUGGAGCAGAUCCUGCCUCCUACACUUGCUGUGCGACUUCAGGUGAGUGAAAAGACACUUAACAUCUCUGCAACUCAGUUCCCUUACUAGUAAAAUUCGGAAAGUAAUAUCAAUUUUAUAGAGUAUAGUGAAGGUUAAAUGAAAUGAUACAGGUAAAUUUUUUUUUUCUUUGGUGAGGAAGAUUGGUCCUGAGGUAACAUCUGUGCCAAUCUUCCUCUUUUUGCUUGAGGAAGGUUGUCACUGAGCUAACAUCUGUACCAUCUCCUUCUGUUUUGUACGUGGGAUACUGCCACGGCAUGGCUUGAUGAGUGGUGCAUAGGUCUGAGCCCAGGAUCCGAACCUGCAAACCCUGGGCCACUGAAGUGGAGUACACAAACUUAACCACUAUCCACGGGGCCAGCCCCAAAGACUUUUUAAAAUAGACAUAUAAUGAACCUAUUUCUGUGAUAGGAGCACCCUAAGACCUGUGCCAAGCGCCAGGGAGCAGUAGCCCACCGCCAGAGUAACUCAGAUCCAUGGAGCACUAAAGGUAACCAAGCAACAAAACACCCAAACUCUGUUCAUCUCCUCACUGGACUGACUCGAUCCCUACGCCCCCAUUCCCCACAGACUGGACACAGGUGAGGAAAGACACAGUGAACGUGGAAGACAGGCCAGUGGAAACGAUCCACGUUGAAACCCAUGAGAAACAAGAGCAAUGAAAAACGGACAAGGGCUCUCCUUGAAUGUUGGCUUGGGAUCCAAGAAUAUAAGAUGAUUUUAUUAAAUUAUAUUCUUGACAAAUAAUUCUACAUUGGCACCGUUCCUUGAUAUUUUGAACUGUUGUCACAUUGAAGGAUGGCAUGAGAUGGAUGUCUGGUGGAUGUGUUGUUCCUAACACAUUAUGAGAAGAAUUGGAACUUCCCAGUAUGACAAAGACUGUAGAAGUUCCUUAAAAAUAAAACAGAAUCCAACAUAAUGGAUUGCUCAAAGUUGGGUACAUUUACCCCUAAUCUCUCCUGUGACUGAAGCCCACAGUGAGCGAAGGAUGUUUUUUCGCCAAAUGUGACUCUAUUUGUAUAAUUCGGUUUUGGAAUUCUGUUGUUCAAGCAAAUCUGCGUACAUAGAGGUACAUAGAGAAUAUGCCUACAGUCUUUUGUGUAGUCAUUUUCCUUUACUAGAUCAUUCAUUCCAGAAUCCACAACCAUUUUUGCUUUGGUUUCCCUAAGCACUUGGCAGGAAGCAAGAAACACUCAUAUUAUAAGUGAUGCAACUAAGGCGAAAGGAGGUUGUGAAUAUUUUACAUUAAAGAGAGACAGCGCAAAAAAUCCCCUAAUUCGUUGUGUUUGACUAAAUUAUGAGGCUGCUCAAUUUUUUAUCUUAGCAACUUAUCAAUUUUCUCUGGGUCAAUGAUUACUUGCGGAAAAGAGUAGAUCUAUUUGCCCAAGGAAAAGACCUGAUCUGAAUACCAGAACACCGCUGGUACAUGUAGAGAUAUUGGUCUCCUGUUUAUAGUUGAUAUUUCCAUGUUAAGAUGAAACAGCUGCCAAUUCAAAAUUGCAGCCCUCAAGCAAAGCCCCACGGCAUUAUAAAAAAGCAUAUACUCCUGGCACUUUCCAGCUGUCAGCAUCGACACUCGCCUUUCUUUUUGCAUUUUAUUAUAGAUAUUUUGACCAGGAUGUAUAAUGAGGAAGCAGGAGGGAAAUUCACCUGUUCCCCAUCACAAAACACCAUGGUGAUGGGGAAGAUGGGGAAAAUCAGAGGGGAAGCUUGGUGUCUGGAGAAUGAUUUUGCCUGGGGAGGAUCCAAGCCUGUCACAUGGCUAUGUGGUACAGUAGUUGGGCCUGGAGAGCUGCAUGGCCCUGAGUUGGACUCCUGGACCCCCUGUUCACUGGCUAUAAGACCUCGAGCAAGUUAUCUGGUAUCAGAGAGCCUCAAUUUCCCAUGUUUGAAACUGAGAUAAGAUGUAUAUCUGAUUGAGUCGUACUGAGCGUUACAUGAGAUGUUGUGUGUCUAUCUUUUGGCUCAAUCCUUGGGUCAAGUACUCAUGGGGGAUUCAAGUGAGGAACUGAGUCGAUGCUGUGGCCUAAAGAUUAAGCAUGUCCACCCUGUUAUGAAAGGGAUUUUGCAGCCGGUGGGAUAGACCCAACUGUAGUGGGGAGGACGAGAGCCAGCAUGGCUGGGGAGCCUGGUGGCAGGGAGUAAGUGAGUGUGUGGCUGUCCAUUGGUCACAGAGGGUCUAGAAGGAGAAGGCAAGGCCCGAGCAGGCAUCAGAGUGAUGGCUGGAGGUCAUGUUGAGAAUGAGGCAGUGUACUCUUGGUGGAAAGAGCACACAGGAAGUUACCCUAGAAAGGACUAUGUGGGCCCCUCAUCAGGGGCCUUAUGUCGUUGGAUAAGGUGAGGAGUAUAGGGUCCCGGGCAGGAUGGGACUUGCCUGAGGGAUUUCAGUGGCUCCCGCAGGGUGGGUUGGAUAAGACGAAACUGUGCCGAGAACUGAGCGGGCAUUGCAGACUUUGUUCUCACACACCCAAUCUGAAUAAUAUUGAGCUUUUAUUCCAGAAGCUAAUAGCUUUCCGACUUCCCAUUUUACUUGCAUUGCUGGAAUUUUAUUCUCCACUAGAUUUGGACACCUAGAAACAAUGGCCAAUGGGUAAGUUAUAAUUGGAUGGGCUCGGCAUCAUUUCCCAACAAAGCCUUCCACUUGAAUGCUGUCUCUUUUUCAGUUCUCUUAUUCUGCCCUUCGGAAAUCUCUCUCUGUAGGCAGGGCUUUCCCCAGUUCUGCGUAUGAGGGUGAACUUGCAGAUAACACUUGACUUUCGUGGCAGAGAAAGAAGAUUUUGCCUGUCCCCUCUGCAGGUGCUGAGUGCAUAGGAACCUGGCAGUCAGGCGCAUCCCUGGACACGCCCUCUGCACUCACGUCUUUGCAGAUCCAGAUGGCUAGAAGACAGUUCAAGCAGACGGCUCGCAGGAUUGAGACCUUCUCUGGCUCCAGAUGUGAUACGAAGGUGUGCCGGAGUCCCGCCCCGGCUGAGUCCAGGUUCCUGAGCGAUGGAUGGCGUCGGCGCAAUGACGGGAAAAUAAAGGGGACGUGAGACUUGGGUGCUAGAGAGAAGGAUAAAGCGUAGCCAGUGGCUGAAGCAGCCAGAGAGAAAGGUGGGCCAAGGGACAACUUUUUGGAAGAAGCGAUUUGAAUAUUUUUGGUGAGUGCACAAAGGACUGUCACGCUAAGUAAAAGAGGGGACUCCAACCCAGAGGCUGCUGGUUAGAGGCAGGGCACGCUGCUUCAACUACCUUCGUGCUUUCAUAGUAAGCUCAGAAAAACG